ensembl:lincRNA
GUGAAGGGAGUGAUCCCGGUUUCGAGUGGCGCAGCUCAGGCGCCGAGCGGCGGGUCUGAGGGCAAACACAAAAAGGGGCGGGAGCAGAGUCAGGUCCCGGCAGCCCGAGGGUCGCCCCGGCAGCGCGCGGCUGCGUCCCCGCCCUGCCUCGCCGCCCAGCGCACCUUCGCCACCGCCGCGGACACCGCCCCCCAGGGGAGGGAGAGCGCUGACCCCACCCCGGCACCCCCGCCCCAUCUGGGCUCAGCGCCUCUGCUGCCGGAGACGCCGACCAGACCUCGCCACCUGUCGGCCCGUCGGGUCGCCCGAUCCCACGCCCGGGCGCCUACACGCAUCUUUCCUUUCCUCCGCGGCUCGCGGGAGCGGAGAAGGCAGGGACCCAGCUGUGCCGCCGGAGGGGAAGGGCACGCAAGUCCAGCGGGAACGUCGCGGGCAGUCCCUUACCUACGAGGAGUUUAGGGAACCAAAGCGCGCGGGUGAGGGUUGCCCAAGUGAGCCGACGCCGCCGCGCGCUCUCUGGAUACGCGGAAGGAGCCGCGGCCACCGCAGAGUUUCGAGUGUUGCUGAGAGGGAAAGUACAGUGGACUUGUGAUGGCUCGGGACCGACGAGCCGGGGAAAGAUCAGCGCACGGUCCCGUCCCGGUGCCGCCGCCUCUCCAGAUGGCGCCGGAGAAUAGAAAAAAGCGAAAGGCGCAGUCCCCUCCUCUGCGGAAACGCGUCCUGGUGUAAGAGAUGCUAAAAUUGUCAGGAAAUGAGCAAGAGUUUACCAUUAGAUUUGCGACCUUGUCAAAACUUCUUACGCGGAUUUGUUGUAUUGGCGAUUCCUGUCUUCCUUGAGCCUUUCCUUAGAACCCAGUCUCCACACCUCCUCUUCAGCGGCCAGACUCCCUCCGAAGUACUAAACUUGCGCUGACCUUGACUUGAAAGGAGCUGGAGUGAUGGUAAUUUCCAUUCCUCCUUAGCCUCCCAUCCAAACCGUCUGAGAUUUCUGGCCACAACUGUCCGGCACCGGAGGAGACUGAGCCUCCUAUACCCAGUAAUGUCAGGGUGCAUCACUGUCGUAGGCUACAAAUGCCAGGUCUCCAUUUUGUAAAAAGUAGGAGAACCUUGAGUCACACUCUUACUCAACAGAAAUCUUCCCUUCCCACUCCCCAUUCCUAUUUUACCCAGGUAGCAAAUGGUAGGUGAGCCGUCGGUGGAUGCCUGCUAGAGGAAUAGGAAAGGGAGACAUGAUUCAUUGCUUUGAGAGAAAGUCAGGCAGUUCUGGUCAUUGGCCUGCCUGUUUGCAUGACUGAGUGGGUACCUAAGAGAAAGUUGUGGACAAUUCCUUGAAAAAAAAAAAAAUCAAAGGCUUCCUUUGGGAAUGUUUUAGAAGCUGAGUGGCCAUUUGCCUAGAUGGCACCAACCUGGGUGCACCACCUGAAAUUUUUCAAUCACAGAGUUCAUAUUUUCCAAGGCUUAAGGAGAGCUGGAGGGAGGAUUGAGUGCUUAAUGUAUUCCCAUUCAUGUGUUUCAUAGAGGAUUUCUGUCUGAGAGAGGCUGCAAGAUAUAGUGGAAAGAGUAUAGUUAGCCUGGAUACAAACAUAUGUCAGGGAGCUGAGAGCGCCUGAGAAUAUGCUUAAAUUCUCUGGGACUCAGCAGCUUUAUGUACUGUAAAAGUCAAUGGUGGCAUGUAUUUUUAAGACAUUUUAUAAAUUGACACUGCAUGUACAAUGUCAAGGUUCAAGGAAUGCACUGAAUAUACUCUUCUGUCAAUAAGGUAUCAGUUAUUACAGUUUCUGAAGAGUCUUGGGAGAGAAGGCAAAGAAAAGAAAGAUUAAAAAUAUUAACCUUGAAAGGACAGAUUUUGAAUGAACCAGGAUAACACUUACACCACAUAAAUUUAUCACUGCAUCUCUUAGACCAGUUUUCUUAGUAUUAAUGGACUCUGAGUCAGGGAUGCUGGCUGCUACUGACUUGUGUGGCUUUGGACAAGUUGCUUAACUGUUGUGCCUCUGUUUACUUACAUAUAAAGUGGGGAUAAUAAUACUUGCUACAUUGUGAGAGCGUCGUGAAAAUGCCUAAGGUCUUAAGAUAAAAGGUAGCAUAUGAGCAGCAGAGUACUUAUUAUUAGUCUAUAAAGUGCCCUAGGAACCAUGAAAGAGAUUACUGAGGUACGAAGCGCUGUUUUAUUAUUGUUAUCAUUUAUUGUACCUUUUGUCUUUACCAUUCUCAAUACUCCCAAAGAUACAGGUCACAGCCAAACUUUUCAUCAUUGUGCUGGGGAUAUUUAGCUGAGUCACUUACACCCUAAACUGCAAGGUGUGUGCAUAUCCUCAGUCUUAUGUAUAGAGUUCUGAUGAAAUACUCAAAACUGGGCCCUUGGUUUCCCAAUGUCAGCAAAACCGAUAGUUGGGGCUAGAUAGGUGUGUGUUUUCAGGUUUGCCCUGGCCAUUGUAGAAUCUUUAGCGGCAUCAUUGAUUUGUACCUGAUACCAAUAGCAUCCUUCAACCUCAUUGUAACCUUGCCAAAUGUUUGGGGUGGGGUGCUGUUCAGAACCUCUAAGUUGGCCUAAAGUUAGUAAUGUUAGUGACCCAUUUUGCCCUUAAUAGUAAAGAAAAAUGUCAUUAACAGAAUAAAA